UGUAUAGCAUUCUCAGCUCUAGGCCA
rnacentral:piRNA from 1 species